GAUGAACGCUAGCUAUAGGCUUAACACAUGCAAGUCGAGGGGAAACGGCAUUAUGUGCUUGCACAUUUUGGACGUCGACCGGCGCACGGGUGAGUAUCGCGUAUCCAACCUGCCCUUUACUUGGGGAUACCCCGUUGAAAGACGGCCUAAUACCCGAUGUAGUUCAUUGAUGGCAUCAGAUAUGAAUAAAAGAUUUAUCGGUAAAGGAUGGGGAUGCGUCUGAUUAGCUUGUUGGUGAGGUAACGGCUCACCAAGGCUACGAUCAGUAGGGGUUCUGAGAGGAAGGUCCCCCACAUUGGAACUGAGACACGGUCCAAACUCCUACGGGAGGCAGCAGUGAGGAAUAUUGGUCAAUGGGCGCAAGCCUGAACCAGCCAAGUAGCGUGCAGGAAGACGGCCCUAUGGGUUGUAAACUGCUUUUAUACGAGAAUAAUUUGAUGCACGUGUGCGUUAUUGCAUGUAUCGUAUGAAUAAGGACCGGCUAAUUCCGUGCCAGCAGCCGCGGUAAUACGGAAGGUCCAGGCGUUAUCCGGAUUUAUUGGGUUUAAAGGGAGUGUAGGCGGUUUGUUAAGCGUGUUGUGAAAUUUAGGUGCUCAACAUUUAACUUGCAGCGCGAACUGUCAGACUUGAGUACACGCAACGUAUGCGGAAUUCAUGGUGUAGCGGUGAAAUGCUUAGAUAUCAUGAAGAACUCCGAUUGCGAAGGCAGCAUACGGGAGUGUAACUGACGCUUAAGCUCGAAGGUGCGGGUAUCGAACAGG
rnacentral:rRNA from 1 species